rnacentral:rRNA from 1 species
GAAGUAAAAGUCGUAACAAGGUUUCCGUAGGUGAACCUGCGGAAGGAUCAUUAUUGAAUGAACUUGGUGUGGUUGUUGCUGGCCCUCUCGGGGGCAUGUGCACACCCGCCAUCCUCAUCUCCACCUGUGCACCUCUUGUAGACCUGGAUAGACUUUCCGAGGCAGCUCGGUCGGGAGGAAUGCUGCGCUCUUUGCGUCGGCUUUCUUUGCACUUCCAAGCCUACGUUUUUCAUAUACACCUAGUAUGUAACAGAAUGUAUAAUUUGGGCCUCAGUGCCUAUAUAAACUUUAUACAACUUUCAGCAACGGAUCUCUUGGCUCUCGCAUCGAUGAAGAACGCAGCGAAAUGCGAUAAGUAAUGUGAAUUGCAGAAUUCAGUGAAUCAUCGAAUCUUUGAACGCACCUUGCGCUCCUUGGUAUUCCGAGGAGCAUGCCUGUUUGAGUGUCAUUUAAUUCUCAACCUUUAUUUAUUUAGCUGUUGCUGAUAAAAAAAGGCUUGGACGUGGGGGGUUUUCUUUUGCUGGCUCCUUUAGAGGUCGGCUCCCCUUAAAUGCAUUAGCUGGUGCCCCGCGUGGGACUGUCUAUUGGUGUGAUAAUUAUCUACGCCAUGGAUGUCUGCAAAUGGGUUUGCACUGCUUCUAACCGUCUGUUCCUUAGGACAAUACAUGACAAUUUGACCUCAAAUCAGGUAGGACUACCCGCUGAACUUAAGCAUAUCAUA